GCCAUCUUGGCCUGCGGGGUCCUCGCGGCGGCCCGGCUGCCCGCGGCGCUGCCUGAGCCGGCCUCGUACGGUGUCCCUGUGUUGCUCAGACUGAUCCUCAAAAUCCUGGGAUCACUCGAUCCUCUGGCCUGGGACUACAGAAGCGCUAUGGGGCUCAGUAGUCUCCCGCUUGCCCAGCACCACAAAGCCCUGGUUCCACCCCCAGCUUCAUAAAAACCAUAAAGAUGAAGAAGAACAGG